rnacentral:rRNA from 1 species
CUACGGGAGGCAGCAGUGGGGAAUAUUGGACAAUGGGCGCAAGCCUGAUCCAGCCAUACCGCGUGGGUGAAGAAGGCCUUCGGGUUGUAAAGCCCUUUUGUUGGGAAAGAAAAGCAGCCGGCUAAUACCUUGCUGUUCUGACGGUACCCAAAGAAUAAGCACCGGCUAACUUCGUGCCAGCAGCCGCG